UCAAGAGAUAGUGUUUGAUAAUUACUUCCCUCGAUAGUAGUACACUGUUAGUUACUAGAAAAAAUUGUGAGCUUUGUAGUUAAGAUAGCAGCGUCGCUUAUGUAUAUAUAAUCCUUGAGGACGGUGCAGGUGAAGAGAUUCGGUUUUUUGGCGCGAAUGGAGUGACACCGGAAGAACUGUCCCGGUAGUGAGGCUCCAGCAUCCCUGUGACCUUACAAAGGACAAGCAGUUUGGAGAAUGGAUAGAUAAGAUGGAUGUUUCUGCUUACCUGUCGAGUCAUGGGUGGGAGGUACCACACGUUGCACACGAUGGCCCAGCUUGUCAUCAUCCUGAGGAGGUAGCUCACCAUGUUGUACUUGGCACUGUUCCAGAAGGCAUCUCCAAACUGAGGGUCAUACUGAAAGAGAGAAGUACAUGAGGGACACACCGAACAUGGCAGGUAACAUGAUGAGCCCCACUACUAUGG